CUCAUGGAAGAGAAAACUCCUCAAUCCCAGAAAUGUCUAUUCCCACGCUAUCUACAUGUAAUGCUUGUGAAAACAUUCCAAACAACUCAAUUAGCAAUUGUUACGGUCAAAUGAGUAAAAGAGAAUGAAACUAAAUGAACAUAAAAUUAAACAUGAACAUUUAAUUCCUCCUAAGAAACAAUAUUUGUUCAAUGUAUAUGCACUUAAUUCCCACCAGCCAUGGACUGCAACUCUUCCAAAUCAUGCUCAAUGUACCACAUAAUAGAGUAAGAACGUUUCUUCUGUUCCCAACAUCUCCUCACUGUAGUCUUCUCUUCAACAUCUCCUCCCAGGAUUUUCCACUGGCAACAUCAGCUCACACUAACUCCGAGCCUUUCCAUUUCCAAGUGUGAGCUCUAGAUCAUCCAAUCCCACCUCAUGAAUCCUUUCUCCUUCCCAUGGCUUCACUUGUCCACUCCCAAACUCAAACUCCAUACACUUGCCAUUCUCUUUGAUCACAUUGCUCGACAAAAUUUGCUCAGCCACAGGUUUCAC
rnacentral:misc_RNA from 1 species